UAAUCCGAUGGGCACGAACCAAUCUAUUGGACUCUAUGUCGAUUGUAGACUCCGCAUAGUUUUUGUAUACUGGAUGACGAGUAUUGUGUGGUUAUUUUUUAUAUUCAUGGAACAACAGGUAUCCUCGGGGAAAGAGUAUCCACCAGCAGAUAUACGUGCUCAAUCUUAAAAAAAAAACAGUAAAGAUAACGAUUGUUGAUCAAUCUAGUAUCCAAUGAGUAAAUCUUUACAGAUAAUUUUACAAAUGUUUAUAUAUUUGUAGCUAUUUGUUGAGGGUCAGUCGUAUCCGUAAAUGUCAAAUGGAAAAAAAAAGCGAUGGACACCUGUAUAUUCACAAAUCAACAGCCUUCACCUGAGGACAAUGCUACAAAGAAUGGUUCUUGGGUGGACAAAGUGAAAUAUUCGUUCCCUUGGGGUACCGGAAUUUUGCAGAUACAUACGGUCAACAGAAAUAACACUUGCUCAGAUUGUGAUGUCCAGGGAGAGCAGUGCGAAUUUUGUAAAAACGUAUCCAGCUAAAUGGUAGUGUUGCAGCCUUUCAAGUUCAAAGAAGUUUGAAGUCCGGAAGACAGUAUAUACUUGCAGAGUUUGCAAAACAAUUUUAAGUGGUAAAUACAUAAUCCGUAUAUAAAUAAUAAAGGAACAAUCGACAAUACAUUGUAUGAACACACUCACAGGAAAUACAUGUUCGUAGAUUAACUCUAAACGAUUUGAAGAUAAGACAAUAUUAUAAGGAAAGAUAAUUCAAUAUCAAAAACUAUAUCAACAAAUAACAAUAACUCUUCACAGACACUGUUUAGCCUGUGAACAAACAUGCCGAAUACAGCUCGCAAUACCUGUGUUUUAAUAGUCAAGGUUGCUAACGAGAAGUAAUAUGUUUUUCUGAAUGAAAGUUAUUGACGAAGCAUAGUGCCUUUUACGAAAAACCGUUGUGAACUUUGCAGAGCUUUGAAAGAAACUUAUUGAGGCCUAACAAAGUAAAUAACCGUUAAACUAUUUGAAUGGAGAAGAUGAUAUGUAUUCCAGUAGCAAAUUGAUAUGGUGAAUCGAUUUUAUAUAUGGUGAAUCGAUUUUUACAGGUGCAUGAAUGUACGUCGAAUUAUAUCAAACUUCAGUAAUGCAUAUCAAACUUCCCAUAUUUUGUUUUGU